rnacentral:lncRNA from 1 species
GUAACAGAAUCUCUAUAUGCAUAUAAAAUUUCAUAGCCUCCCUUGCAAACAGAUGCAGCUGUCUGAUUAAGUUCCGGUCAAUGGGUGAAAGCAAAGUGUUACUUCUGGAUAGCAGCGUGAGAAGUGAAUAUCCUGGCUGAAUGGACCAGGAGAAUCCAUGGUUCUUCUCCUUACAGAAUUCCAUAACUUGUUACAGCUCUUUGAAAAUGUAGAAACCAGAGUAUUCUAUGAUUGGAACCUCAAAGGUUUUCAAACAUCAGCCAGGACCCUGAUGUGAGACUGGUUGAGUUGCUCAAGACUGAUGAGGUAAGAUGUAACUGACAAAUAUUUCACAUUAAUUUUUGUUCUAAAGAAGGAAUUCAAGAUCAAGUUAUGGAAUGUGCUUAAAGAAGAACAGGGGAGCAAGUUGGCUGGGUGCGGUGGCUCACGCCUGUAAUCACAGUUUGGGAGGCCAAGGCAGGUGAAUCACUUGAGGUAAGGAGUUUGGGACCAGCCUGGCCAACAUGCUGAAACCCCAUCUCUACAAAAAGCACACACAAAAAAAUUAGCCAGGCAUGGUGGCCAGCACCUGUAAUCCCAGCUACUCUGGAGGCUGAGGCAGGAGAAUCACUGGAACCCUGCAGGCAGUGGUUGCAGUGAGCCGAGACUGCGCCAUUGCAUUCCAGCCUGUGUGACAAGAGUGAGACUCUGUCUCAAAAAAAAAAAGAACAGGAGAGCAAGUUGCUGAAGCUAAUAGUUCCGGGGAGGACCUCUGCUGCCUGUGGAUAAGAUACACAUUAUUAAUUGGUGCACUGUGGGAAACUAGAAAACAGGAAAUCACCACUCUGUAAUAAUAUGCUCUAUAAAUCAGUUCAAACUCAUGGAUUUUGACAACUGCGCUAAGGUCUAGAUGUGCUUCUAUUCCUAAUCAGUUUCUUUAUUUCUCGAAUUCUGGUGUCCAUGUUUAUUUUUAAAAGUUCCUGAGAUUCUAUAAUUAGCAACCACCAUAUGAAUAUUUUUGAAACCAGCCUAGCCCAUAUGAUGGGUAAAACCCAAAAGCAUAAAUGUUUUCACAAUUGAGUAGAAGAUAAUCAAGUAUUAAUAUCCUCUUGGAAUAACAAAAGAAGACAUAAAGUGCAUUUCCAGCGAUAUACAUCUCUGCACAUAAUGCACUGCUAUGACUUAUAAAAUAUAAUGAGCAAUAUAAAAUAUUCCACUAUAGGACAUUCUUACCUAGUUUUGAUGUAGCUAUUUUUUUCCUUAAGGCACAGUUGCUCUUCAUCUUUCAUUAUUAAGUUCAUUUGUACAUAAAGUGUAGAAUACUGAAUGCAAAAAUAUCAACUUCUAGUUGUACUUUAAAAAGUGAAAGAAAAUGGUCCUUGACGCAUAUCAACUGCAUAAUAUUUACA